rnacentral:lncRNA from 1 species
ACUAGAUUUCCAUUAAAAGAAAACAUAAGCCCAAUGAGCAGUACAAUGAGUUUCAGCCUAUACAUAAAGAGUCCAACGGAUUACAACUAAGUUUACAAUAAAACCCAAAUGCAAAAGUGAUUAAUCUUUAUCAACUCGGCUACGCGUCCACUCUAAUCAAAGUGACAAACAUGUGCCUCUACACGUGGCAAGCAUGCAUCUCCUAGGUUAACCUAUCGCCGGAAUGUUGCUUCGCCAUGAAAUCGCUUUCCGAUUUUACAUCUUUGCCAUAAUUCGAGCCUCUCCGAUUAGAUGUCGAAACCCAAUGAGUAGCUUCUCUAUCUGCAAUUCCUCUCCCAUCCUCAGCCUUCAUCAGCUUCCAAAACGAGUGCAUCUGUUUCUCCGGAAAGCUCAGCCAGUAGAAGCCUCGUCCACUAAAGAUUACGAGUCCUAAUCAGUGAGAUAUUACCCGGUUGAGAAGAUGAAUACAAUUGAGUAGAGGCUAGAUAGACUAAGAUGAUGAAGCCGAGAGCCACCGGCCCUUUAUACUCCGAUUAGAAUCAACGUUUUUGGUCGGAGCAUUUAUUAACUCAACCUAUAACAUAACUAAAGAAGAGAAAGAUGAAGAUUGAUUUUGGGUAGGGGUUGAAGAACACACCAAAAUCGCCUUAUGCGAAACAAGAAAUCGCUGUAUGCAAAACAAAAAUUCGCCGUAUGUAAAACAUAAAUUCGCCUAAAUGCGAAACAAAAAUCGAUCCCUGGAAUCGAGGAUAUUUUACAUACAAAAGAACUUAAUCAACAUCUUCCUCUGAAAAAUAGAGGUUUGGUAAGAGGAAAAAGUUGAGAGAGAACUUCAAGAUUCAUACCGGUAGAUACAAAUUUAUAAACGAAAACAUAUAUGAAAACAUAUGUGUUCAGAGAGAGAUAGGAAAUAAAAAAUACAUAUACGUUCAAAAAUAUAUCUUUUCGAAAAGAAAACAACGUUUAUAAUUUAUAAACGAAAUAUCAGUUUUAUGUGUGUUUAAUUCAACCAAACCAAGUAAAGUACCCAACCCACGUCUAUUUGGAUAAACAGUAUUAAAAAAAAAUUGCCAAUAUUUUUCCACAAGAAGAUAGACUAAAAGGUACUUACGAAGCUUCUGGCUUCAGAUCAUUUUUAAUAAGGAAAACCAAAAUAGUAUAAUUACUUACCAAAGACGCG